UACGUAGGGGGCUAGCGUUGUCCGGAAUCAUUGGGCGUAAAGAGCGUGUAGGCGGCCCGGUAAGUCCGCUGUGAAAGUCGGGGGCUCAACCCUCGGAUGCCGGUGGAUACUGUCGGGCUCGAGUACGGAAGAGGAGUGUGGAAUUCCUGGUGUAGCGGUGAAAUGCGCAGAUAUCAGGAGGAACACCAAUGGCGAAGGCAGCACUCUGGGACGUGACUGACGCUGAGACGCGAAAGCGUGGGGAGCAAACAGG
rnacentral:rRNA from 1 species